rnacentral:rRNA from 1 species
UGGUGAGGUAAAGGCUCACCAAGGCGACGAUCCCUAGCUGGUUUGAGAGGAUGAUCAGCCACACUGGAACUGAGACACGGUCCAGACUCCUACGGGAGGCAGCAGUGGGGAAUAUUGCACAAUGGGCGCAAGCCUGAUGCAGCCAUGCCGCGUGUGUGAAGAAGGCCUUCGGGUUGUAAAGCACUUUCAGUCAGGAGGAAAGGUUAGUAGUUAAUACCUGCUAGCUGUGACGUUACUGACAGAAGAAGCACCGGCUAACUCCGUGCCAGCAGCCGCGGUAAUACGGAGGGUGCGAGCGUUAAUCGGAAUUACUGGGCGUAAAGCGUACGCAGGCGGUUUGUUAAGCGAGAUGUGAAAGCCCCGGGCUUAACCUGGGAACUGCAUUUCGAACUGGCAAACUAGAGUGUGAUAGAGGGUGGUAGAAUUUCAGGUGUAGCGGUGAAAUGCGUAGAGAUCUGAAGG